rnacentral:rRNA from 1 species
CGAGUCUGCCUUGAAGAUCGGAGUGCUUGCACUCUGUGAAACAAGAUACAGGCUAGCGGCGGACGGGUGAGUAACACGUGGGUAACCUGCCCAAGAGAUCGGGAUAACACCUGGAAACAGAUGCUAAUACCGGAUAACAACAGAUGAUGCCUAUCAACUGUUCAAAAGACGGUUCUGCUAUCACUCUUGGAUGGACCUGCGGUGCAUUAGCUAGUUGGUAGGGUAACGGCCUACCAAGGCGAUGAUGCAUAGCCGAGUUGAGAGACUGAUCGGCCACAUUGGGACUGAGACACGGCCCAAACUCCUACGGGAGGCAGCAGUAGGGAAUCUUCCACAAUGGACGCAAGUCUGAUGGAGCAACGCCGCGUGAGUGAAGAAGGGUUUCGGCUCGUAAAGCUCUGUUGUUGGUGAA